rnacentral:misc_RNA from 1 species
GAUGAAGAACGCAGUGAAAUGCGAUACUUGGUGUGAAUUGCAGAAUCCCGUGAACCAUCGAGUCUUUGAACGCAAGUUGCGCCUCAAGCCAUUAGGUUGAGGGCACGUCUGCCUGGGCGUCACAUAUCGUUGCCUGAUGCCAGUUUCCUCGUGAUGGGUGACUGUGCAGGGCGAAUGAUGGCUUCCCGUGAGCAUUGUUGCCUCAUGGUUGGUUGAAAAUUGAGUCCUUGGUAGGGAGCGCCGUGAUAGAUGGUGGUUGAGUGACGAACGAGACCCAAUCAUGUGAGACCCCUACCGAAUUUGGCCUUCAUGACCCACAUGCGUCUUUGGAACGCUCAUGACGAGACCUCAGGUCAGGCGGGGCUACCCGCUGAGUUUAAGCAUAUCAAUAAGCGGAGGA